rnacentral:rRNA from 1 species
GACGAACGCUGGCGGCGUGCUUAACACAUGCAAGUCGAACGAGACGAUUGAAAGCUUGCUUUCAAAAGUCGAGUGGCAAACGGGUGAGUAACGCGUAGACAACCUGCCUUUGAGAUGGGGACAACAGUUCGAAAGGACUGCUAAUACCGAAUGUUGUAUAUUUUCCACAUGGAAGAUAUAUUAAAGAUGGCCUCUAUUUAUAAGCUAUCGCUCAAAGAUGGGUCUGCGUCUGAUUAGCUGGUUGGUGGGGUAACGGCCUACCAAGGCGACGAUCAGUAGCCGGUCUGAGAGGAUGAACGGCCACAUUGGGACUGAGACACGGCCCAGACUCCUACGGGAGGCAGCAGUGGGGAAUCUUCCACAAUGGACGAAAGUCUGAUGGAGCAACGCCGCGUGAGUGAAGAAGGGUUUCGGCUCGUAAAGCUCUGUUGUCGGGGACGAAUGUGCAGUAUUUGAAUAAAGUAGUGUAAUGACGGUACCUGACGAGGAAGCCACGGCUAACUACGUGCCAGCCGCCGCCGUAA